CCUACGGGGGGCUGCAGUGGGGAAUAUUGGACAAUGGGGGCAACCCUGAUCCAGCCAUGCCGCGUGUGUGAAGAAGGCCCUCGGGUUGUAAAGCACUUUCAGUGAGGAAGAACGCCUGGUGGUUAAUACCCAUCAGGAAAGACAUCACUCACAGAAGAAGCACCGGCUAACUCCGUGCCAGCAGCCGCGGUAAUACGGAGGGUGCGAGCGUUAAUCGGAAUUACUGGGCGUAAAGCGCGCGUAGGUGGCUUGAUAAGCCGGUUGUGAAAGCCCCGGGCUCAACCUGGGAACGGCAUCCGGAACUGUCAAGCUAAAGUGCAGGAGAGGAAGGUAGAAUUCCCGGUGUAGCGGUGAAAUGCGUAGAGAUCGGGAGGAAUACCAGUGGCGAAGGCGGCCUUCUGGACUGACACUGACACUGAGGUGCGAAAGCGUGGGUAGCAAACAGGAUUAGAUACCCCAGUAGUC
rnacentral:rRNA from 1 species